rnacentral:rRNA from 1 species
UACAGAGGUGGCAAGCGUUGUUCGGAUUUACUGGGCGUAAAGGGUGCGUAGGCGGCUCCACAUGUCGGGUGUGAAAGCCCACGGAUUCUCCGUGGAACGGCAUUCGAAACUGCGGGGCUAGAGUUCAGGAGAGGAGAGCGGAAUUCACGGUGUAGCGGUGAAAUGCGUUGAUAUCGUGAGGAACGCCGGAGGCGAAGGCGGCUCUCUGGACUGCGACUGACGCUGAGGCACGAAAGCUGGGGGAGCAAACAGG